GAUGAACGCUGGCGGCGUGCCUAAUACAUGCAAGUCGAGCGAACAGACGAGGAGCUUGCUCCUCUGACGUUAGCGGCGGACGGGUGAGUAACACGUGGAUAACCUACCUAUAAGACUGGGAUAACUUCGGGAAACCGGAGCUAAUACCGGAUAAUAUAUUGAACCGCAUGGUUCAAUAGUGAAAGACGGUUUUGCUGUCACUUAUAGAUGGAUCCGCGCCGCAUUAGCUAGUUGGUAAGGUAACGGCUUACCAAGGAAACGAUGCGUAGCCGACCUGAGAGGGUGAUCGGCCACACUGGAACUGAGACACGGUCCAGACUCCUACGGGAGGCAGCAGUAGGGAAUCUUCCGCAAUGGGCGAAAGCCUGACGGAGCAACGCCGCGUGAGUGAUGAAGGUCUUCGGAUCGUAAAACUCUGUUAUGAGGGAAGAACAAAUGUGUAAGUAACUAUGCACGUCUUGACGGUACCUAAUCAGAAAGCCACGGCUAACUACGUG
rnacentral:rRNA from 1 species